rnacentral:snRNA from 1 species
AUUAUUUUUAAGCAUUCUCUAAAUAAAGUUAAUCUGUUCUUAUCAGCUUGAUUUCUGAUAUAUUCUGCAUCGCAGAAUAAGUAAAUUGAACUACUUUUUGUAAAAUGACUGGAGUUUAGAAGCUUGCUUCACUCCGGUCGCUGAUCGACCUGGUAUUGCAGUUUUGCCGGGUUCGGUCCACCGUUA